UCCAUGGAGAACUACUGGUUAUGUCAUGGUGCUCUCACCGCCAUGGCCCAGGUUCAAUUCCCGGCCAGGGAA